AGUCCAAAUCGCUCUUGCUCUCCGCUCGAAUCAACAAAUUUCUCUCGCUCUCCUCACGCACAAGUCCAAAACAAAAGAGAUAGAGAUCCGUUUCCUGCUCAAAAUCUCAAACUUGCUACUGCUCGGUUCAUUCUUUUGAGGUGUCGUUGGUAAGUCUGGAUCUUUUCUUUGAAAUUGAUGUUGUGCUUGAUUUUGAUGGAUGCAAUUGGGCUUUAUUCCAUUGUUUUGGUAAUGGGUAUGUUAUUUUUAGAGAUCGAUCGACCGACUUUGGUUCAAUCUUGAAUCUCUAAUUGCUAGCCGGGUUCAAAUCUUCUUCAUUUGCUUCUGAGAUCAACAUCAGAGCCAACCCAGACUCGAUUACAGAAUUCCUCAUCUCCUUCUUUCCAAUUCUUUCUGUCAGUAUAGGUUAUAAGUGGCUGCCCUCCAACUCCACCGAUCUGAGGAACAGUGUGCUGUCAACUUCUUUAGCUCUUUCGGCUUCAGAUAUAAAUAUUCCAGAAAUGGCGGUUCGACAUGGAAGAAAUAAACAAUAUAUUGUUUUGGGUGAAAAGAGAAGUGAAGAUGAACUCAGCGUUUCACAAAGUAGUCAAGAGAAUUUCUCGAAUAUGAGGAGGAAAAGACAAAAGCAAAGAGCUGGUGAUUCCACUAUGGUUGAGCAUUCAAUUUCAUCUACUGUUGUUGGUGUUACAGACGCUGUACCUGAUACCGCUGCUAUGCCAUCAUGUCCAAGGGCUCGAAAAAUGCGUGUCGAUUCUCAAAAAACUGUAAUACAUCUUAUUUGUAUCGUUAUAAUCAAUUAUGAAUACGUAAUUAAUAAUGAGAAAAGGAACAGGUACAUACC